CAGCAGUCAAGAAUAUUAGUCAAUGGCCUAACGGCUGAACUGGCAACUUGGAGAAGUGGCAAGUCUUCCAGUAUGGGGAGCAAAACAGCUAUGGGUCAAGUCCGAUAUCUUUAGGAGAAGUCUUAUUGUGAGGGCGAGUUAUAUAACACCAUAGGACUGGCCGUCCCAUAUGAAAAGAUUAUAUUAGAAUUGAAUGAAGCUUUGUUUAUAUAUUGAUAAUGACAGUAUAUAUAUCGUGUCUUGACUAAUUGCGUGCCAGCAGUCGCGGUAAUACGUAAGAGACUAGUGUUAUUCAUCUUAAUUAGGUUUAAAGGGUACCCAGACGGUCAAUAUAGCUUAUAAAAUGUUAGUACUUGACUAGAGUUUUAUGUAAGAGGGCAGUACUUGAGGAGGAGAGAUGAAAUUUCGUGAUACCAAAGGGACUCUGUAAAGGCGAAGGCA
rnacentral:rRNA from 1 species